AUUGAACGCUGGCGGCAUGCCUUACACAUGCAAGUCGAACGGUAACAGGUCUUCGGAUGCUGACGAGUGGCGAACGGGUGAGUAAUACAUCGGAACGUGCCUAGUAGUGGGGGAUAACUACCCGAAAGAGUGGCUAAUACCGCAUGAGAUCUACGGAUGAAAGCAGGGGAUCGCAAGACCUUGUGCUACUAGAGCGGCCGAUGGCAGAUUAGGUAGUUGGUGGGAAAAAAGCUUACCAAGCCGACGAUCUGUAGCUGGUCUGAGAGGACGAUCAGCCACACUGGGACUGAGACACGGCCCAGACUCCUACGGGAGGCAGCAGUGGGGAAUUUUGGACAAUGGGCGAAAGCCUGAUCCAGCAAUGCCGCGUGGAGGAUGAAGGCCUUCGGGUUGUAAACUGCUUUUGUACGGAACGAAAAGCCCCGGGUUAAUACCCUGGGGUCAUGACGGUACCGUAAGAAUAAGCACCGGCUAACUACGUGCCAGCAGCCGCCGUAA
rnacentral:rRNA from 1 species